ACUACGGGAGGCAGCCGUGAGGAAUAUUGGUCAAUGGCCGAGAGGCUGAACCAGCCAAGUCGCGUGAGGGAAGACGGCCCUACGGGUUGUAAACCUCUUUUGUCGGGGAGCAAAGCGCGUCACGUGUGACUCAUUGCGAGUACCCUACGAAAAAGCAUCGGCUAACUCCGUGCCAGCAGCCGCGGUAAUACGGAGGAUGCGAGCGUUAUCCGGAUUUAUUGGGUUUAAAGGGUGCGCAGGCGGAGGUGCAAGUCAGCGGUCAAAUUGCGGGGCUCAACCCCGGACUGCCGUUGAAACUGCAUCCCUUGAGUGCGCGAGAAGUAGGCGGAAUGCGUGGUGUAGCGGUGAAAUGCAUAGAUAUCACGCAGAACUCCGAUGGCGAAGGCAGCAUACCGGCGCGCAACUGACGCUCAUGCACGAAAGCGUGGGUAUCGAACAGGAUUAGAUACCCCUGUAGUC
rnacentral:rRNA from 1 species